GCCUCCCUCUGUGUCAGUGAGUCCCUCUGGUGAGAUCAUGGAGGGCAGCUCAGUGACUCUGACCUGCAGCAGUGAUGCUAACCCAGCAGCUAACUACACCUGGUACAAGGAGGACGAGGACUCACCAACAGCAUCAGGACAAAUCUUCACCAUCACUAAUAUCACAUCUGAACAGGGUGGAAAGUAUCAGUGUGAGGCCCAGAACACACACGGACGUAGUAAGGCCACCUUACAUCUGACUGUUGGAGCAGCAUGGAGAUCAGCACUCAUUGGAUCAGCUGCUGCAGUUUUCCUCACUCUGACUCUCCUCUCCGUGUUCCUACUGAUCAGGUGAGAAAAUCUGUUCCACCAAAGCCUUAUAUGAGUUCCUGAAAAUCUGUUCUGUUAUAUUAUAUCCACUCCAUUAUUAUGUAUAUUGUUUGUUAUUUGGUUCAAUUGAUCAGAAAAAAGAGAAACUCUCAUCAAUCUGCUGAUCCUGGGGACAGACUUGACCACAGUGAGCAGGUGAGACAAACAGUUCAGCUUCAAUCCUUUCAAACGCCACUAUUUCUCACAUCAAACCCUUUUCUGUCAUGUGAAGAUUAAAAACUAGUUAUUGUAUUGUAUAAACAAUCAUCUGGUGUUUGAAUCGCCUUCUGGUAAUUUAUCCAAUUAAGCAAAUUGCUGAGUGUAAUAAUUUUCUGUGCUGUGUGGUUUGUUCAACAGUUUUUUCAGAUAUCUUUAAUGUGGAGCAGAUCACCAUUGGGUGUGGCUGUGUAACACGUUCAUUGUGCGUUGUUCUGUCUGAGACAAAGUGUGUGUGAGUCUGCUGUUUGUAGUCUGUGUCGUUUAGACAAAUAAAGUCAGUGUUGACUGCGUAUGGAUGCAGCUCUAUAAUUAAAAGUUGAUCCACAGAGCAGUCGUGUUCUUUCAUAUCUGUAUUUAGUGAGUAUGUUGAACUUUGACGUGAAUUUUAGGUAAUUGUGUUACGAGCCGGAGAGAUAGCGUUGUGUGGCGCUUAGUGUCGGUGAGUAGAGUGCGGUGCAUCGGCGAGACGGAGACUUGUGUACUCGUUGCUGGUCAGAAUAAGACUGAGAGAAAGAAGGGAGUUAAGGGGGUGUGGCCUAUCCCCUUUCCUUCUCGCUCCUUCAAGUUUCUGUGUGCCUGACUUUUCUUUUUUUUAAGUGCUGACAGAUAGCUCGACCUCUAAUUAAAUGUUACACAACUCGUUUUGUCCAAACUUUGCUGCAGUACGUGAACAUCCAGCUCCCAGAUGUAGUAUUAUCGGGACACAACCGAUGUGAAAGCACACACACAAGUGGCUCAUAGACACACUAAGUGAGAAGUUUGUAGUGUUAGUGUUUGGAAUUCAUACUGAAGACCUUCCCUCCUUUUGGUUUUUAGUAGAACCACAUGUUUCCUGUCCUUGAAACACGUCUGGUGUAGAAGGAGGCGCUUUAAAUAAAUCAAGAGCUGCUAUAGUUGGACUCUAACAUUGUCCAUUCUGCCACAUGUUCACGAUUAAAAAGCAAAUUUGUGUUCGCAGCGUCUACACAAUCAGUCUGAGGAAUACUGUGACCGUCCAUAUGCCAGUGUCCACUUCAUGAAGAGUGAGACGGAUCCCGUCUACUCCAGCGUCGGAUCAGCUGAACCCAGUGAACACAAGGAGGUGGAGGAGGUUGCGUACUCUUCUGUCAACUUUAACAGAUCUGCCCCGAGAACCAGAGGUCAGGACACUGGAGAGGAUCCAGCUGCAUUGUACAGCACAGUCAAAACACCUCCUGCUGUUUAGACCAACAUCUGGAAAUCACCUUAGUCCUGAUGGAAAUAUCUCAACAGCUGCAGGAUGGAUUUGAAUAGAAGUUCAUUCAACUGUUCAUGGUCCCCACAGGAUGAAUCCUUCUGUGGUGACUGUCAGACUACAGCAUCAUUGUUGAAGUGAAUGUUCAGUUUUAAGUGACCUGUCUUGACAGCUAAUGGAUAAAUCCCCCCGAGGAUGAAUCCAAAUGACUUCUGUGACUCGACUUUUAUCUGAAAUAUAUCAGCAACUUGUAGAAGUUGUUAAAAACGCCACAUUUAGCCUGAAUGAAAAAUAUCAAACAUUUUGUAGUGCUACACUGUUGCCACUAGAUGGUAGUAAAGAGUUUUACUGAUAAAACCACAGAGAGGAUUCUGUCCCUUUCUCUUCUUUCUGUUUCUACACUAUUGUUUCCAUCGUUUCCAUCAUCAGCCGAUCAGGAGUUGAACUCAUUUCCUCUGAGGACUGGAGGGAGCACGUCUCAUGUGGAUGUGAGCUGCUACUGACGUGAUGAACGCCUUGAAUGUGACGUUAACACAAAGUGAACUGCUGACACCAGAUGAGCUGUGUUGCCUCUAGUGUCUGUUCAAAGUUUGCAUCAGGCCCAUUGAUUUCACUUUAGUGUUUUGUGGUAUUUCUCACAUCACGUGUUAAACACGUGAAGAAGAAGGAGUUAGGUGUGUUUUAAUCCAGCAUGUUCACACGGCGGCCAUUUUCCUCUUACGUCUCUCUCAGGGUGUGAAGCUCGAAUGUUGUUACGAACAGAAUAAUGUUGUACUGCUGUGAUCCAGGUUUAUAGGUUACACAAAAAAGUCAUUUAUUAUUCAUUAUUCUUCAUUAGGAUGAUUGAUUUAUCAUUAUAAUAUUAUUUUGGUAAUUUUAGUAAGAUAAUAAGUUUGCUUGCUGCACCUUUAGGAGACUGAUGUUAAUUAUGCUUUUACUUUUUCUAUACAACAUUAUUUAUAUUAAUAGUCUUGUUUAUUUUUUAUUAAUUUGUUGUUCACUCACAACUUCCUCUUUUCUAACUUUGUGAUGUACAGUUUUGCAACAAAGCAGAUUUUCUUGAGGGAUCAUUAAAAGUGUGUUUUUUAUUCUGUUCAUAUAUUUUUAUUUUUACGUUAUAUUGUGAAGCUCGCUUUUUCUAAUUUGCUUUUGUUUUGAAACUUCUACUAUAUAUUAAUCUCACUUACAGUAUUAAUGGCUUUUUAUUUUCCUGUUCAAUUUUAAAUCUUUCUUUAAUUUGUUUGUUUUUUAUGUCAAUCUUUAUUGCAUUUUAAUGGGACACUGAACAGAUGAUAUUAAAAACACACCAGUUUUUCUCAA